AUUGAACGCUGGCGGCAGGCCUAACACAUGCAAGUCGAACGAGUGGCGGACGGGUGAGUAAUGUCUGGGAAACUGCCCGAUGGAGGGGGAUAACUACUGGAAACGGUAGCUAAUCCCGCAUACCAUCGGAUGUGCCCAGAUGGGAUUAGGUGGUAGGUGAGGUAACGGCUCACCUAGGCGACGAUCCCUAGCUGGUCUGAGAGGAGGACCAGCCGCAAUGGAAAUGAGACAGCGUGCAGAGUCCGACGGGAGGCAGAAGUGGGGAAUAUUGCACAAUAGGGGGAAGCGUGAUGCAGCCUGGCCGCGUGUAUGAAGAAGGCAUUCGGGUUUUAAAGUACUUUCAGCGUGGAGGCGUUACCCGCAGAAGAAGCACCGGCUAACUCCGUGCCAGCCGCCGCGGUAAUAC
rnacentral:rRNA from 1 species